rnacentral:lncRNA from 1 species
AAGGAUAAAUAGGAAUUCAUUCAUGAUGUGUAUUAGGGAAGGUUGGCAGGCAUUUUACUUAUGGGAAACAGCUUCUGCAGGGACAGGGAAGACUGGAGAAUGAAGGGUCCAGAGCUGUAAUCACUGAUAAUGUCCUUGCUGAGUUGCUAGAGUUCAAGAGCAGCUUUGGGAAGCAGGGUGCUCAUCUCAGAGAACAACGUGGGCAACUGUACACUGGCUGUUUUGCAGCCUCAAGCUAUGUCUUGUCUGCAUUCUUCCGAGUUCUGCUUCAUGCCAUUCUUUUCCUGGGCCCUUCUCUUUUCCUCAAACUCCCCUGCCUCUCUGGGUGCAAGUCACCACGCGACUUUCUCAGUCACACAACAAGGCCUGGAGAGGUGAGGUGCAGGGCAGGGAUCCCAGGAGGCAGUUGAUACUCAGGGGACAGGUUGGGACCUAUCUGUGGGUGGCAGGCCCCCAGUUGCGGGGACAGGCAGAGGGAAGGACAGGCAAGCAACCUCCUUGCUCACUGAUCACCAAGUGGAGCUUACAGCAGGGUUCUACCUGAGAGGGCACCUGCGGUAUCAGCAGGGUGGAGGGUGCCUGGUCAGAACCAGCAUAGGAACUGGGAUAGAGAAAACGGAGCAAACCGAGGUGGUGGGGUGAAGGCAUCGGUUCCAGACGCCUGGUCCUGGGGAGCAGCGGGGGGUUAGUGCAGAGUGAAGCUGGGAGCCCCAUGGUGGGGCUGAGCCCACUGCUAGCUGUUCUUCCUCUAGCAUAGUUGGCUGAGACCUUGGCGAGGCUGGAGCCUACAGGCAGGAGGGAAAACAAGCUCAGUGGCCUUGGGGAGGAGAGUGUCACUUUGGGUUCUGUUCUCAAAAAAAUGUCCAUGGCUUGGCAGGUGUGACAAGCCUAACAUUUCACAUUAAUACCCAAUACUGACGUGGAGCUUCCCAUGUGCCAGGCACUGUGCUGUGUUUGGAAACCUUGUCUCACUUAAUCUUCACACCAACCCUGUAGGAGGUGGUCAUCAUUCCCCACCAAAGGAGAAGCUAGGGCCUGGGCAUCUGUAAAGUGGGCUGGCCCUCCUGGGGCUGAGGAGCCACUGGAGCUGAGUCACAGAGGAUUUCCUUGGGAUUAAGAAUCCUCUGAAGUCCAUGGUACCUGGUUGUGGUGGAGGCAGUUGGCUCUUCCAGCCAGGCAUUAAUC